rnacentral:rRNA from 1 species
GACGAACGCUGGCGGCGUGCUUAACACAUGCAAGUCGAACGGAAAGGCCCUGCUUGCAGGGUACUCGAGUGGCGAACGGGUGAGUAACACGUGGGUGAUCUGCCCUGCACUUCGGGAUAAGCCUGGGAAACUGGGUCUAAUACCGGAUAGGAGCCAUUUUUAGUGUGAUGGUUGGAAAGUUUUUUCGGUGUAGGAUGAGCUCGCGGCCUAUCAGCUUGUUGGUGGGGUAAUGGCCUACCAAGGCGGCGACGGGUAGCCGGCCUGAGAGGGUGGACGGCCACAUUGGGACUGAGAUACGGCCCAGACUCCGACGGGAGGCAGCAGUGGGGAAUAUUGCACAAUGGGCGCAAGCCUGAUGCAGCGACGCCGCGGGGGGGAUGACGGCCUUCGGGUUGUAAACGCCUUUCGCUAGGGACGAAGCUUUUUGUGACGGUACCUAGAUAAGAAGCACCGGCUAACUACGUG